UUGAAAUACCAGUUCCCAUAUAAUCACCAAAGUUAAGCAAUGUCGAACCUGGUCAGUACCUAGAUGGGUAACCACUUGGAAAUACCUGGUGCAG
rnacentral:rRNA from 1 species